GUCCUACGGGGCGCAGCAGUGGGGAAUAUUGGGCAAUGGAGGCAACUCUUACCCAGCAAUGCCGCGUGAAUGAAGAAGGUCUUCGGAUUGUAAAGUUCUUUAAUUGGGGACGAAAAAAAUGACGGUACCCAAGGAAUAAGCCCCGGCUAACUACGUGCCAGCAGCCGCGGUAAUACGUAUGGUGCAAGCGUUAUCCGGAUUUACUGGGUGUAAAGGGAGUGCAGUCGGCGCGUUAAGCCUGGUGUGAAAGCCCGCGGCCCAACCGCGGGACUGCAUUGGGA
rnacentral:rRNA from 1 species